GAAUCAUCCAAAGGGUGCAUGACCAAAUCAACAACACAAAAGUCAACCAGCUGUGAUAGGUGAUGCUCCAAGCCUUGAGGGUGAAAGGAAGAGGAAACACAAUGAUGGUCACUACAAUGUAUAGUCCCCCGCUCUGCACAGAGCCUGCCACAGGGUUCAAACCCACGGACCGUGAGGUUGGGUGCCCAACCAACUGAGCCACCCAGGCACCCCUGAGCCAUCUUUCAUUUCAAGGAGCUUUCUUUCUGCCACCCCUCUCUCAGAUGUACAGCUGUCCUUACUAGAAGCUGAAGUUGAUUGGACACACAGGUGUUCAUGGGAUCUCACCAUUGACCACAAAAUGUAGAAGAGUCUUGUGUUAGGCCAAAGCAUGAUGGUGAUGAUGAUGAUAAUGAGGAUGAGGAUGAGGAUUUCUGAAACUGUGACGCUGGGGAUGGAAGAUGUACCUAGAAGUGAGUACAAACAUGCAUCAACUGAGCACUGAAAACCGGAAAAGCUCUUGGGAACUCUGGCUGCUGGAUGUUCAUAUCAGUAAAAAUUUUAUUGCAGCUAAGAUGGACUACAGUUUCACUGAAAUUUAAGAUAAGACGUGAAUGUAAUUCUCCCAUGUGAAGAAAAUAAAAGCAGUUUAUGGACAAUCUUGAACACCUUCAGCGUCACAUAGAAAAACUACCCAAUAGAUCCUUUUAAACUGGCAAAACAGGCAACCGUCUCACUUGU